GACGAACCGUGCAAACGUUAUUCGGAAUCACUGGGCUUAAAGGGCGCGUAGGCGGGCCGCCAGGUCCGGGGUGAAAGCCUCCAGCUCAACUGGAGAAGUGCCUUGGAUACCGGCGGCCUCGAGGGAGGUAGGGGCGUGCGGAACCUCGGGUGGAGCGGUGAAAUGCGUAGAUAUCCGAAGGAACACCGGUGGCGAAAGCGGCGCGCUGGAUCUCUUCUGACGCUGAGGCGCGAAAGCCAGGGGAGCAAACGGG
rnacentral:rRNA from 1 species